UACGUAGGGAGCGAGCGUUGUCCGGAUUCAUUGGGCGUAAAGAGCUCGUAGGCGGCUUGGCAAGUCGGGUGUGAAAACUCCAGGCUCAACCUGGAGACGCCACCCGACACUGCCAUGGCUAGAGUCCGGUAGGGGACCACGGAAUUCCUGGUGUAGCGGUGAAAUGCGCAGAUAUCAGGAAGAACACCUAUGGCGAAGGCAGCUCUCUGGGACGGUACUGACGCUGAGACGCGAAAGCGUGGGGAGCGAACAGG
rnacentral:rRNA from 1 species